CACGUAGGGCGCAAGCGUUGUCCGGAAUUAUUGGGCGUAAAGAGCUCGUAGGCGGUCUGUUGCGUCCGCUGUGAAAACCCGGGGCUUAACCCCUGGCUUGCAGUGGAUACGGACAGACUAGAGGUAGGUAGGGGAGAAUGGAAUUCCUGGUGUAGCGGUGGAAUGCGCAGAUAUCAGGAGGAACACCCGUGGCGAAAGCGGCUCUCUGGAACGGUACUGACGCUGAGACGCGAAAGCGUGGGGAGCGAACAGG
rnacentral:rRNA from 1 species